rnacentral:rRNA from 1 species
CCUACGGGAGGCAGCAGUGGGGAAUUUUGGACAAUGGGCGCAAGCCUGAUCCAGCAAUGCCGCGUGCAGGAUGAAGGCCUUCGGGUUGUAAACUGCUUUUGUACGGAACGAAAAAGUCUGCCCUAAUACGGUGGGCCCAUGACGGUACCGUAAGAAUAAGCACCGGCUAACUACGUGCCAGCAGCCGCGGUAAUACGUAGGGUGCGAGCGUUAAUCGGAAUUACUGGGCGUAAAGCGUGCGCAGGCGGUUAUAUAAGACAGAUGUGAAAUCCCCGGGCUCAACCUGGGACCUGCAUUUGUGACUGUAUAGCUAGAGUACGGUAGAGGGGGAUGGAAUUCCGCGUGUAGCAGUGAAAUGCGUAGAUAUGCGGAGGAACACCGAUGGCGAAGGCAAUCCCCUGGACCUGUACUGACGCUCAUGCACGAAAGCGUGGGGAGCAAACAGGAUUAGAUACCCUGGUAGUCCACGCCCUAAACGAUGUCAACUGGUUGUUGGGUCUUCACUGACUCAGUAACGAAGCUAACGCGUGAAGUUGACCGCCUGGGGAGUACGGCCGCAAGGUUGAAACUCAAAUGAAAUUGACGG